rnacentral:rRNA from 1 species
UACGUAGGGGGCUAGCGUUGUCCGGAUUUAUUGGGCGUAAAGAGCGUGUAGGCGGCCAGGUAGGUCUGCUGUGAAAACUCGAGGCUCAACCUCGAGACGUCGGCGGAAACCAUCUGGCUAGAGUCCGGAUGAGGAGAGUGGAAUUCCUGGUGUAGCGGUGAAAUGCGCAGAUAUCAGGAAGAACACCCGUGGCGAAGGCGGCUCUCUGGGACGGUACUGACGCUGAGACGCGAAAGCGUGGGGAGCGAACAGG